GACCAGGCCAGUUUCCUAGAUUGGCCAGAAGAAAGGAGAGGUGGGGGUGUUUCACUACCAUCUCAAGGAUUCAAAGUCAUUUUGGAGGAAGAAGGAAAGUAUUUUUUACUACAGUAGCGAAUCAUUCCUAGCUGAAGGCGGCUUUUGUUCUCAGUCACCGGUUAGACUGCACUUUCAUAGCCUAGUGCCUUUUACCAGAGCCGCUUGAUAUAUUCACAUAAAUGAUGGAAGAUGCAUGAGACGUGAAGGUGACAUGUGCAGUCUCCAGGAGGAAACUGAUGCCCUGGUUGCUCGCUAAGGAGCCAUCCUGGCGUCAGCAGCAUACGCAGCCAUGCGGCUGCCCUCCCAGCUGGAAGGAAGGAGAGACUGAAUCUUGCUAUGUAGCCCAGGCUCAAGCACAGUGGCUAUACACAGGACAAUCAUCACAACUACAGCCUUGAACUCCUGGCCUCAAGUGAUCCUCCAACCUCAGCCUCCUGAGUAGCUGGGACUACAGGCUGGCACCACUGCACCCAGCCUGAAAUCUUAAACAUUCUAUUCUAAAAAGUGUUCAACUGGAAAGAGUUUGUUGGCACUCAUUAUAACCAAUUAUAAGCAUUACAUCUGUCAUAAUAUCAGAAGCAUGACAUGACAAAGAAUAAGCUUCUACAUGUGUAUUUUCCCCACUGCCAUGUAACUCCAUGUAACUCACCUCAUCUUGCUCUGUGUACCCAUGUUGCAAUCUUCCAGUUUGAACUUUAAACUGCUUUUUUUAAAAAAGGUUGUUUUUAACUCAGUAUGAAACCUGAUUCUCUCCCUCUCAAGUGAUCUUACCUCCUUCUCUCUUUCCCAAGAUGCUCUCUGGGUAUAAAAGGACAAUCCCAUGUUUGCAUGGUGACAGUGAAAGAGCCUCUGACUUGCAUAGUAGCAUCUGGGCUUUUGCUGGCCUCUGCUGGUCUGUUCCACUCUGUAUCAGGUUGUUGAGCACCCUGUUCUAGUGUUCAAUAUUUUGUGCUUUGUAUCUCCUGGUGCUUUUGGGGUGUGGAAAGGGGGCAAGGGGUGUCAUGGUAGAAACUAUUCCCAAAGUCCUUAGAUCCUGCAGUAACCUCGUAUAUCACAGUCCUUGUACUCUGUGGCAUCCUUGUCCCAACCCCAGGCUUCUUGCAUUCCACUGUUUAUCUUAAUAAUAGGAGACUCUAGAAAGUAUGAAAUCCCUAGAUAACCUCAUUAACCUCAUGGGCCAUGGGCAGCCAGAGGCAUUGCUUAAUCCACUUGCCUAAUGCUUCCUCCAGCAUUUCUAAUUUACCAGUCAUGUGCUACCAUAUUGGUCUUGUGCCAUGAUAAACAUGGGACUUCUUCAAAGAUCUGAAAAGUUCUCAGGGUAGAACCUGAAGCAAGUAUCAAGCUCAGCCUAACCCCUCCCCUUGCCUAUGAACCCCACAAUUUUGACUAGAUUUUUCU
rnacentral:lncRNA from 13 species